CCUACGGGUGGCAGCAGUAGGGAAUAUUGCUCAAUGGGGGAAACCCUGAAGCAGCAACGCCGCGUGGAGGAUGAAGGUUUUCGGAUUGGUAACUCCUUUUGUUAGAGAAGAUAAUGACGGUAUCUAACGAAUAAGCACCGGAUAACUCCGUGCCAGCAGCCGCGGUAAUACGGAGGGUGCAAGCGUUACACGGAAUCACUGGGCGUAAAGAGCGCGUAGGCGGGAUAGCAAGUCAGAUGUGAAAUCCUAUGGCUUAACCAUAGAACUGCAUUUGAAACUGGUAUUCUAGAGUCUGCGAGAGGUAGGUGGAAUUCUUGGUGUAGGGGUAAAAUGCGUAGAGAUCAAGAGGAAUACUCAUUGCGAAGGCGACCUGCUAGAACAUAACUGACGCUGAUGCGCGAAAGCGUGGGGAGCAAACAGGAUUAGAUACCCCUGUAGUC
rnacentral:rRNA from 1 species